UUUCCCUCAGGAUAGCUGGUGCACGUAGCGUUUCGAACCUUAUUCUUAUCUGGUAAAGCGAAUGAUUAGAGGCCUUAGGUUCGAAAUGAUCUUAACCUAUUCUCAAACUAUAAAUGGGUACGGUACUGGGUGGCAUGUAUCAUACGUGGGACUGACUAUCCUGCUAUG
rfam:Anopheles gambiae str. PEST chromosome 3R, whole genome shotgun sequence.